rnacentral:rRNA from 1 species
AAAUGAAUUGACGGGGGCCCGCACAAGCGGUGGAGCAUGUGGUUUAAUUCGAAGCAACGCGAAGAACCUUACCAAGACUUGACAUCCCUUUGACAGGUGUAGAGAUACACUUUCCCUUCGGGGCAGAGGUGACAGGUGGUGCAUGGUUGUCGUCAGCUCGUGUCGUGAGAUGUUGGGUUAAGUCCCGCAACGAGCGCAACCCUUGCUUUUAGUAGCCAGCACUUCGGGUGGGCACACUAGAGGGACUGCCGUGGAUAACACGGAGGAAGGUGGGGAUGACGUCAAAUCAUCAUGCCCCUUAUGUCUUGGGCAACACACGUGCUACAAUGGCAGCUACAAAGAGAUGCAAAGGGGUGACCUGGAGCCAACCUCAAAAAAGCUGUCCCAGUUCGGAUUGUAGUCUGCAACUCGACUACAUGAAGCUGGAAUCGCUAGUAAUCGCGGAUCAGAAUGCCGCGGUGAAUACGUUCUCGGGCCUUGUACACACCGCCCGU